UAAGGCUUUUCCCAAGCUGCUUUCCUUUUGCUUCUAGCCCAGUGCUUUCUUCUUUUAGCUUUCUUUUCCCAAGCUUUAAUAAAAAAAUAAAAUAAAAUCUUUUCUCCCUGAUUUCUGUACACUUUACUCUUUUGCUUUGCAUUCCUUAUCUAAUGCUUUAUAUAAUUUUCUCAUUGGGUUUGCAUUUGUAAGUCUUAAUCAUAAUUAACUGUUUAUCUUAUCUUUUAGACUAGGCCACAGCAACGAGCCUCAUUUCAAGUUGCUGCAGAAAGUCCACCUACAUCCACCUCUCAGGACAACUGGACUCCAGAUAAGUACUGCACUUACUGCCUAUCUCAAAAGGUGGGACUCCUCCCCUUUCCCUGGUUUUGGGACUUCCUUUCCUGGCUACCAGACUGCUGUUUACUGCAUGCAACCACUGGCUGGAUUGGUGAGUCCACUCCAUUUUCUCAGCAUACACUCCUCUCUUGGUAGGGGAAGCUUGACCGCAGAGCUCUGACAACUUCCUACUGUCUUUUGUGACAGAGGGACCCCCCCUCAGCCGUAGCCUUAACCCUCUAUGCUGACCUCCAUUUUAGGACCACACUCUCCCUUGGGCAGUACGUCCCCUCUCGCGCACGGUUCCUUCUCCCCCUCGCUCGCUCGCUUGCUUGCUUGAUCGCUCACUCACUCAUGGAAAGGUCCAUGCUUCCUUCUCCUGCUAGCUCGCUCACUCAUGUGCCCCCUCUCUCGAUCGCUAGUGGGAAGACCUAGUGCUAGGCCAACCGUCGUGCUCCGGCCGUGCCUCACUGGGCACUGCGCCCAGGUCCCUGGCUGAGAUCUGAUGAGCUAUCGGACAGUGUCCUGCCAGACACAGAUGUUUCCUAUAGCCACAACAGCACCAAAGCAGCUACAGGCAUUCAACUCUGACCUCACGGACUUCCAACAAGCUACAGGUGUUCAGCUCUGACCUCACAGACUUCCAACAAGCUGGACCUGCACCUUCCCUCCCAGCCACUGGUGUUCUCACAGACCUGGGAAAGCAUCAAAGCAGCCUAUUCUUCCUGGACUUGGCCAACAUUUCAGCAUUUUGACCUCCCUACAGCGCCCUCAGUGUCAGCAGGAAGUAGCUAGAAGAGAAUCUACACCUGUUAUUCACUUGUUGUUAACAAAAGGCUGGAAUGGUGUGCUUCAGGACCAGGACAGGCGGCUCCAGGUUCUCCCAGCGUUCCCCAGUCCCUACCUGCUGCCUUGCAUGGCUGGCAACUCUAUUGACAACCCUCUACCCUAAAUUUUCCAGGGCAGAGGCUUCCCCUACUCUUGACCUUGCAAUGUGACCAUUUUGUUGCUAUAAUUCUUCUCUCUCAACCUCUUGCAUGACAACCAAGAGCUGCUUCCAAUGAGCCUAAAUUUAUAUACUUUAACUUACCUUAUAAAAAGCAGCCCAAGCUCCCCAUCUUUUAAUUAUAGAAAAAGGGAGGAAUGUUAGUAUUUUGGAACACAACCUGCUCCUGGGUUACCCAACAACCUAUGUCGUCAUCAUGUGUCGCCAGCCAGGUGGCCACACCUGGAAGGCAUGGUUAUCAUGCCCCUUAAAAGGGCCGAUACCGACAAGUGGUCUCUCUCUUAUUUUCUCUUCUCUCUCUUACACUCUCUUCUCUCUCUCUCUCGGAGCACCCCUUCCCCUUCCCUUUUCUUUCUCUCUCCCCACCAUGUCCUGCUUCCCACUCCCUCCUUACCCUCCUAAUAAAUC